UACACGCUGUGACUAGCAUAUCAAUAAGCGGAGGAAAAGAAACUAACAAGGGAUUCCCCUAGUAACGGCGAGUGAAGCGGGAAGAGCUCAAAUUUGAAAUCUUAAAGGGUUUCCCUUUACGAAUUGUAGUUUAAAGAAGUGUUUUCUGUUGAGGUUUUGGUAAAAGUUCUUUGGAAUAGGACAUCAUAGAGGGUGAGAAUCCCGUAUUUGACCUUUACUUUCAACUUUGUGAUACACUUUCAAAGAGUCGGAUUGUUUGGGAAUGCAGUCCAAAAUGGGUGGUAAAUUUCAUCUAAAGCUAAAUAUUGGCGAGAGACCGAUAGCGAACAAGUACCGUGAGGGAAAGAUGAAAAGAACUUUGAAAAGAGAGUUAAACAGUACGUGAAAUUGUCAAAAGGGAAGCGUUUGACACCAGUGUUGUUUUUCUGAAAAUCAAUUAAAGAACUGUUUAUGCUAAGUUGUUUAGACUUUAUCAGCUAACUGUUUAGUUUUGAGCUUUUCUUUAAUGCACUUUUCAGUUAACAAGUCAACAUCAAUUUCUCUUGCUGUAAAAAAGCUUGAGGAAGGUGGCUUGAGAUUCGUCUUAAGUGUUUAUAGCCUCUUGCCUAUGCAGUCGGAGAGAUUGAGGUCUGCAGCGUAGAUCCUUCGGGGCUAAAUGCAUUUGUGCUAAGUUAUAGCAUUUUAUAGACAACUUGUUGACUAUGAUUUGUCUUGUAGCUUACUCGCUUAUGUUAUUUUACCUACGCUUAGGAUGUUGAGUCGUAGAGCACGCAG
rnacentral:rRNA from 1 species